GCCUGGGUGGCUCAGUCGGUUGAGCGUCCGACUUUGGCUCAGGUCAUGAUCUCAUGGUCCGUGAGUUCGAGCCCCGCAUCGGGCU
rnacentral:tRNA from 1 species